rfam:Triticum urartu cultivar G1812 contig621302, whole genome shotgun sequence.
AUUCUACUCCCUCCGUUCCGAAUUACUUGUCUUGGAUUUGUCUCGAUACGGAUGUAUCUAGACUCAUUUUAGUGCUAGAUACCUUCGUAUCUAGAUAAAUCUAAGACAAGUAAUUCGGAACGGAGGAAGUACGUC